rnacentral:tRNA from 1 species
CGGGUUGUGACUCAGUGGUAGAACACUUACCUAGCAUGUAUGAGGCCCUGGGUUCGGUCCUCAGCACCAUGU